CUUCCCCACCAAAAAAAAAAAAAAAAAAAAAGAAAGAAAGAAAGGAAAGAAGAAAAGAAAUAGAAGCUUUUUAAGUGUUCUUUCAGCCUUCAGAGAAAAUAACCAGUGGUUGACUUUGCACAUAUCAUUUUCACUCCAAGUUGCUAUAAUUUUCAGUAGGUACUGUACCUAAGUCACAUUAUCUUCUAAAUUACUCUUCAGGCACAGAGAGAGAAAACUAUAUACUAGCAGGACUUCUCCAAGAGGCCUAGAAGAGAGUUGAGGCCAGUCUGGAAAGCUGCCUUGGUCUUUGUUCUGAUUGGUUCACUGCUCAGCACUGCCACUGGAAGGCAGGCACAGGAAGGGAGAGAAAAUGAAAGGCACAUACUCUACAGCGAUUUUAGGUAUUUGUUCCAGAGUUUUGCACAGACAAUUUGUUCUAUAUUAAUAAAAUACCUGGAUACUCAGAAUAAUAAUAAUUAUAACUAUGGGUACCUGUUAAUGACAAUCUCUAGUGAUAGUAUCUUCUUAAAAUGAACUUAGAAGAGUUUCUUUGUAUAUUCACAAUGUCUUGAGCUUAGAAACGUGCAAUCUUGGAGCUGGAAGGGACCUUAAAUAUUAUUUUAUACAAAUCCCACAUUUUGGGGGUGAACGAAACUGGUGCCUAGAGAAGUGAAGAGAUUUGCCUGAAAUUACCGUGAAGAGAAUUCCGAAUCCUGGACCAGUUUGUGUGGUUUUCGUCACUGUAGUUAUUAUUGUUACUGUUUUCUAAAUUGCAGUUUCUUGCUUCUCCUGAACUAGAGGAUGUUUGGACAUUUAUAUAAACAGCAUAUUAAAAGGUACUAAUUUCAUUUUAUCUACAUUAGUGCCUGCUGAAUAUUCAAUAUUAAGAAAUUUCCUCUUCAUCUUGAAUAAGCAUGAGGAGGUCGUGGCAGUCCAAAUGUCCCGCUGACCUCAGUCCCUCAAUUGCAGGCCCUCACUAGAGGUGUGGCUCAGCACCAAAGGAAGGGACAGUGGUUUCUAUCACCAGCAUCCCAGGACAGGGCAUGUUCCAGCUGGGCCAUUCCUGUCUGAUCAGAGAUCCUACUGACACUAGAAGGAAAAGAAGGGACGGAUAUAUUUCUUAGUUCCUAUUUUAUGAGCAUAUAUUAUUAUCGCUUGUGCUUUUUUAUGUACAAGCACAGCCUUAAAGAUUCUCCAGUUGAUGGCUUUGCUCUUAUUUUCCCUCACUCUGCACGUCAUCUGCUGUCUGAGUUUGGGUUUAGGGGAUGGUGAUGGGUGUGAGAAAGAACAGACAGCUGGUCAUGCCCAGAUUUAGCGCCACAUCAGCUUAACUAAUAAAGAGUCACUUUCGGCAGAAAGUUAGUAUUUGCAAAGGAAAGACCUUAAACUCCAAAGUCACAGACUGUGGCAUUUAGAGGCAGCAGUCACAGCAUGAAUGAUAACUUGAGGGGGGAUACUGUUCGAUGUUUGAACUAUCUGAAGGGAUGUUCCAAUUGGUUGGAGAGCUUAUUGAGUGUGGCCUCUAUUGAUCAUAUACUAUUUUCAGAUAUUAGCUCGUGUUUGAAGAUCGAAGGAAAUGAGCAAGUGUUUCAGUGUUUCUUGGUAAAUUCAUUCCAUAGCAUUAUAACUACAGGGAAAGUUACUAUCUGUUCAUUCUAGUUCAGUCAGUAGCACCACCGUAGUCACAGAUACAGUGGAGGAAGACAGGUUUAACUAGGGAAGUAUCAGUUUUAGUCAGGACUGAGUUUUUUAUUAAUUACAGCAAAGACACUGGAUUAAAGAAAAUUCAAGACUAUUACUGAAUUAUUAGAAUAGCUGUUCACUUUUAAGGACUCUUUUAGUACCUCUCUAAAAAAGGUAAUAUGAAAAGUCAUUUAAUUUGAAGUCAGCUUUGAAGGCUCCAAGAAUGUGUUACUUACCAAUUACAAUUUAAUCUGGAAUGAAAACUAUGCAAAUGGAUUUUUAAGUUAAUGUUUGAGAAGGAAUUGUCUUUGUUUCUAUAUUUUAUAUUAUUUAUUAUAGAUAUUCAUUCACUCAUUCAAGGAGCACUUUUUGGGUCACCCAACACUUGGGAAUGCAUUCUGCUAGGCACUGGAGUGUCUGCAAAGGUACGGAUGACAGUGUUCCUUACUAAAGGCGCUUACAGUGAGAGAAGACACGAUGACGUGUGAGUUUGAGCUGCUGGAGAAGUUACGUGACGUCCUAACGUACACGUAAGAACAGGCACACAGCUUCUCCCUUUCCUCCUAAUGUCCACACAGAAUGUUAUUAAUGAACAAAAGGAGUAAAAUAUACUAACGUACUCCCUAAAUAUUUCCUAAAUCCUGGUCUUAUAUCUCACAGAACAGUCACCUAGGAGUUUUAGUGUUGGGUCGAAGAGAACCGUUAGUAGAGCCACACAGAAGCCUUGGUGGCAGUGAGAGCGGUAGGAAUGGGGCAGACGCUGUCCUGGGGAUCGCUGUACGGGUCCCUCUGGGAAGCUUAGCGGGGGUGCUUCUUUGACCUGUUUGCUACCUUGUGGGCUAGACGCCCACAGCACUGCGCAGGCUGCCUACCUGUGAGGUCACAGUAAGGAGGAUGCAGACGGAAGGGAAGGGGAGGAAGACAAUUCCGGCUCCAUCUCCAGGCUGCAGUGGGGCCAACCUGCAGGCAGCACCAUUUUGGGGACACCGUGUAGCCACUCUGAUGAUAUAAAACCCUGAGAGAAUUGGCUUAGGUCUGCCAGAAGAACAAAAACGACACUGCGACAUCCACCGGGAUAACAAGCUUAAGUGGGAUGUGUGAAAUGCUUUAGAAAGUUUAUUGUGAUUUCUGUUUCUGAAAGGAAGCAGCCUCUCUUUAUUCAUUAACUCCGUCAUCAUAAGAAUGUUUAUAUGAACCAUUUUCAGAUCCAGUAAUAAGGAAAAAGUCCUUUUACAGAUGGAGAUUCCAUCAAAAACAGAUGUUAUUUCAGCAGGAGUUGCCACAGUGACAACAAUUGGGUGUGAAGACAUCAAAGAAUCAUCCUCUUGAACAGCUGUUAACCAAUCAAUAAAUGGAACCACUUCCAUUGAAGAGAAAUGAGGCAUCUACAAACUUGCUCAGAGUCACAUUCCCAUGUAGAGAAUUUGGCUUUCCAGUUGCUUCGCAUUGAUUCUUUCUCAAAGUAAGGGCAGAAACAGAAAUGGAGAAGUCAGUUGUUGGUUGGUUUGUUUUCUUGUCGCCUUAAUUUCAUCCCUACAGACACCCAUAUGGGUGUUACCCUUAAAGUCUUUGCUACUACUACUCAAGCUUACUAAUAAAGCAUUUCUGCUACUGAUAGAAGUGUCACACCAUUCUGAUUAUAACCUUAUUUUAUUUUAAAAGUAAAACAUGCCCCCAAUAUUAAAAAAAUUAUUUAUGGAAGGAGCACCAGUGUCUCAUUUUAACUUCUGGAGAAUCUAGAAUUAAUGUUGUACAAGAAUGGGAAGAUGGAAGCACAUGGGACUCUGACAGCAUCAUUUAUCCCUAUUAUUUCCCAACUCAUUGAUGAUAG